AAUAACGUUCGAGCAAUCGCUGUACUGCUUGACAGUGCAGAGGAAAGUCCAUGCUCGCACAGGCUGAGAUGCUUGUAGUGUUCGUGCCUAGCCAAUUCAUAAGCUAGGGUAGUCUGGUCUUUGACUGGGCUAACGGCAGGGAAAAAGCCUAAGUUCAUCUGAAUAUGGCUUGAAUACCUAUAACGUGCCACAGUGACGUAGUCUUAUCAGAAAUGAUGAGAGUGGAACGCGGUAAACCCCUCGAGCGAGAAACCCAAAUAAUGGUAGGGGCACUUUUCGGAAGGAACUAAACGGAUGAAAGGACAGAUACCAAUCUGUAGAUAGAUGAUUGCUACCGGAGUACGAGGUUGCGGACCGCUUGCAGUACAAAGGUACAAAACAUGGCUUACAGAACGUUAUUGAUA
rnacentral:RNase_P_RNA from 1 species